ACACUAAACCAUACAUUUAAAAUAAAAAAAAAAAAGAGCAAUUAAAACGAUAGCAACAGCAAAACUUCCACCCACCGUCGAUUUCCACGUCAGCAAGGGGUAAUAUCGUAAAUCCACCACCCACUUACAGCUUGUCCUCAAAGUCAGAAAGAGGUGUCAUUGUAACCUUCAAACCCUUCCUCUUACGGAUAUCAGCCACAAGAACUGCAGCCUGAGAUUCCGCCUGCAGAGGAUCCGACGCCAUCAUCUCCCA
rnacentral:lncRNA from 1 species